rnacentral:rRNA from 1 species
CCUACGGGAGGCAGCAGUGGGGGAUAUUGCACAAUGGGGGGAACCCUGAUGCAGCGACGCCGCGUGGGUGAAGAAGCGCCUCGGCGCGUAAAGCCCUGUCAGCAGGGAAGAAAAUGACGGUACCUGAAGAAGAAGCCCCGGCUAACUACGUGCCAGCAGCCGCGGUAAUACGUAGGGGGCAAGCGUUAUCCGGAUUUACUGGGUGUAAAGGGGGCGCAGACGGCGAUGCAAGCCAGGAGUGAAAGCCCGGGGCCCAACCCCGGGACUGCUCUUGGAACUGCGUGGCUGGAGUGCAGGAGGGGCAGGCGGAAUUCCUGGUGUAGCGGUGAAAUGCGUAGAUAUCAGGAGGAACACCGGUGGCGAAGGCAGCGUGCCGUGCCGCCACUGACGCUGAGGCACGAAAGCGCGGGGAUCGAACAGGAUUAGAUACCCUUGUAGUC